GGAUGCCUUGGCAGUCAGAGGCGAUGAAGGACGUAUUAACUUGCGAUAAGCCCAGAUUAGGUAGUAAAAACCAUUUGAGUCUGGGAUUUCCGAAUGGGGAAACCCACUAGCAUAAGCUAGUAUCGCUGCGUGAAUACAUAGCGCAGCGAGGCGAACCGGGGGAACUGAAACAUCUAAGUACCCCGAGGAAAAGAAAUCAACCGAGAUUCCGAAAGUAGCGGCGAGCGAAAUUGGACUAGCCCUUAAGCUUUUUAUGCGUCAGGUGAAACUUCUGGAAAGUUGUGCGAUACAGGGUGAUAGCCCCGUAACCGGCAACGCAUUUAAAGUGAAAUCGAGUAGGGCGGGACACGUGAUAUCCUGUCUGAAUAUGGGGGGACCAUCCUCCAAGGCUAAAUACUACUGACUGAC
rnacentral:rRNA from 1 species